GCCACUUUAGCUCAGGAGGUAGAGCGCCACCAUGGUAAGGUGGAGGUCGUCGGUUCAAGUCCGAUAAGUGGCU
rfam:Lactobacillus saerimneri 30a contig00033, whole genome shotgun sequence.